GACGAACGCUGGCGGCGUGCUUAACACAUGCAAGUCGAGCGAGGCCCAUCCUUCGGGGUGGUGCCCUAGCGGCGAACGGGUGAGUAACACGUUGGCAACCUGCCCUCAGCUCUGGGAUAACUCCAAGAAAUUGGUGCUAAUACCGGAUGUUACCGCUGACCGCAUGUUCUGGUGGUGUAAAGAUUCAUCUGCUGAGUAUGGGCCCGCGGCCUAUCAGCUUGUUGGUGGGGUAAUGGCCCACCAAGGCGACGACGGGUAGCCGGCCUGAGAGGGUGACCGGCAACACUGGGAAUGAGACACGGCCCAGACUCCUACGGGAGGCAGCAGUGGGGAAUAUUGCGCAAUGGGCGAAAGCCUGACGCAGCGACGCCGCGUGAGGGAUGACGGCCUUCGGGUUGUAAACCUCUUUCAGUAGGGACGAAGCGAAAGUGACGGUACCUACAGAAGAAGCACCGGCCAACUACGUG
rnacentral:rRNA from 1 species